AGAUUAAAGAUAAAGAAAUAUAGAAAGAUACCAAGGAGAAAUAAAGGACUAAUUUAGGAAGAUAAGUCAAAGAAAAGAGAAAGGAUAAAUGAUAGAAAUACUAGGGGAAAAGAUAAUAAACCAGUAGAAUCCUAGGGGAAACCCUAAGUAAGUACCCUUUGAACAGAAACAUCUAAAGUAAAAGGAGGAAAAGAAAUCAACCGAGAUAACCUAAGUAGUGGUGAGCGAAAGGGAAAAGAUCCAUAGUCCGGCCUGAAUAAGAAGCAUAGAGGGAGAAACACCCGUAUUCAGGAAGGAGAAAACAAGUAGAAUGAGAGAAAACUAAUUCGAAAAAAGGGGAACCAUCCUCUAAAGGUAAAUAAGUAACUUUGAGCGAUAGAGAAUAGUACCGUGAGGGAACGUUGAAAAGAAGGUAGCUAACUGGUGAAAGAGAACCGGAAUAAGUAAGUUUAGAAGGGUUUGAAAGUUAAUAACUAACAAAUUUACCUUUGGUAUAAUGGGUCAGCGAUUUGAUUCCUGAAGCAAGCAGAAAACUAUAUGAAAAUGGUAGUAAAGUUUCAGUAAUCAGACCCGAAACCAAGUGAUCUUACCAUGAACAAGUUAAAGGACUGAACGGUAGUCUGUAGCAAUAGACACCGAAGAUUUGUGGUAGGGAGUGAAAAGCUAAUCUCACUUGGAGAUAGCUGGUAUUCCGCGAAAACUAUUUAAGUAGAACCUUAUAAUAUUUUGGCGUGGAUCGAGUCGAGCACUGGAUACAAAGUGAGUAAUCACUAAAAUUGGGGGGAUAAAAUAUCUUUAUCAAUUGUAUCUAAUCAACUUAAAGAUCCAUCCAAAUUAGGAGUCAGACGGUGGGGGAUAAGCUCCAUCGUCGAGAGGGUAACAGCCCAGAGGUCCGAAAUAAGGUCCCAAAAAUCUGACUAAGUGAAAGAAAUAGAGAGAACAAGAAUACAACCUAAAAGUGGGCUUGGAGGCAGCCAUCUAAGAAAGAAAGCGUAAAAGCUCAAGGGUCUAUUGAAGAAAAGAUAUAAAAUGUAAGGGGUCUAAGUCAGAUACCGAAGUGGACCAACCCCCGCACGAUAUCGAACAUGAAUAGUGCAGGCUAGGGGGUGGUAGCGGAACAAUCAGAGGUGAAGAGGGAAGAUGGAAAUCUGAACAGAUAAUGCUGACAUGAGUAGCAAAAAAGAAUAUAAGAAUUAUUCUCGCCAGGAGGAGAAGGGUUGUAUAGGCAAUAAAGCAUAGCUGUACGUAAAGUAACGGUAUCUAAGAUAAGAUCGAUGAAAAAAUCUUACUAAUAACAUAGUCCUCUUUCGCACCUGUCAGGUGUGUACGUAAGAGUUAACGAGCUCGCUCUGCACUCGUUAUGUUCAUAAGUAGCAGGGUCCAGCACGAAAUAAACAUAUACCGAAAUAACCUUUGGGUGAGUAUGUGGGACCAUGCUUACCAGCUGGCCGUGCUGACUGGACGGAAAGGACUCAGGAAAAAUAAUUAGCGAUGGUUAACCGUACCCAAAACCGACACAGGUAUCCGAAGUGGCGAAUGAGACAAUCAUCUUGAAGGAACUCGGCAAAUUACCUCUGUAACUUAGGAAUAAAGAGGAUGAUCGGCUUAAGGAUCAUGACACAAAAUAGUAGGGAACGACUGUUUACUUAAAACACAGGACCUUGCAAAAACCUAAAUGUUGAUGUAUAAGGUCUGACACCUGCCCGGUGCCAUUAGAAAAAAUUAAGAAAUAAAAAAUAAAAUUUUAUUAAAUCUAAAGGUAAACGGCAGCCGUAACCUUGACGGUUCUAAGGUAGCGUAAUACCUUGGCUACUAAUUAUAGUCUUGCAUGAAUGGUGUAACGAUUUCCCUAGCUGUCUCCAAGAUGAACUCAGUGAAAUUACAAUGGAGGUGAAAAUGCCUUCUACCCUUAGCUAGACGGGAAGACCCUUUGAAGCUUUACUGUAAAUAAAUAGUGUGGGAAAAUGAGGAAUUAAGGGAUAACCGUUUUUUUAAAAGAUAACAUAAUUUAUGUUUAUUAGGCAGUUUAACUGGGGCGGUAGCCUCCCAAAAGGUAACGGAGGUGUUCGAAGGUAGAGUAUAUAUUGAAAAGAUAUCAACUAUAAAGUAUAAUGGCUUAACUCUGCUUAACAGUGAGUCUUACCAGACAAGCUGAGAGGUAACUCGGACAUAAUGAUCAGAUGAUAACAGAAUGGAAUGGUCAUCGCUAACGGAUAAAAGUUACUCAAGGGAUAACAGAUUUAUCAGCCCUAAUAGUACGAAUAGAGGGGCUGGAUUGAUACCUCGAUGUCGACUCAUCUUAUCCUCGGGCUGUAGAAGGUCCGAAGGGUUCGGCUGUUCGCCGAGUAAAAAGGUACGUGAGUUGGGUUAAAUACGACGUGAGUCAGUAUGGACCCUAUCUACUAAGGGGGUAAGGAUUAAUUCUUAAUUAAAACCUAGUACGAGAGGAUCGGGGCUAGUGAACCAAUAGUGUACCUGGUUACAGGGAAGCCACGUUCACGAAGGAUAACUACUGAAAGCAUAUAAAGUAGGAAACCAAUAAGAAAAAAUUCUUAAAAGAGUCGGACAAGACUAGUCCGUAAUUAGGCCAACUAAUAGAAUUAAUGUAAAUUAAAGUGAAGUGGUACUAAGGAACUCGAAUAACUUGGUAAA
rnacentral:rRNA from 1 species